GUCAGCAGAAUCCGAUGACUGUUGUCGGGCGCGCUGCUGAGCCUGCGGGGACUACGGGGAUGGCGCCGGGCUGGUGUCCCGAGUCUCCGACCUCCGGUCCUUGGCUGCCCACAGACUGCACCCGUCUUGCGCGCGGAGGGCGAUGUCCUGGGGACUGGUCCUCUAGUGGGUUCCGAAAGUGAAAGCCUGCGGACUAAACAGACCCAAAAUAAGGAGCUUCCCACUUGCUCGGGUCACUUGAAGGGCUUUCGCAUCCACCACGAAGUACAACAUACAACUUCCGAGACCCAUCGUUCAGGGUUUCUCUGUAUAGUCCUGGCUGUCCUGGAACUCACUUUAUAGACCAGGCUGGCCUUGAACUCAGAAAUCCGCCUGCCUCUGCCUCCCAAGUGCUGGGAUUAAAGAUGUGCACCACCACCGUCCGGCUCAUUGAAAAAUUAAAAAAAAAACAAAAACAAAAAAACCAUGGUGAAAGAGAGCUGAAGAUUUGAAGCUAAGCAGUGCUGGCAUCUUGUCUGUGUUACCAGUCCCAUGAUCUCAGGAAGUUCACCCACUUUGAGCUUUAGUAUGAAAUGGAAUUUCUGUGAAUUUAAUGAGUGAGAGGCUGACAUACUUAACAGGUGAUAAAUAAUAUGUGGGAUAUGUAUGCAAUUCCUGAUUUUUUUCAUAAUAUUCCUGAAGUUAUUACUGUCAGGUCCAAAAGCCUUUUGUUCAGUUAACCUCUCCUCUCAUCUCCUCUGCUUGCAUAGCCCAAACCAGUCUUGAACUGAUUUCGGAGGCCAGACAGGCCUGGAAAUCAAAAUUCUCCUGCCUUAGCUUCAAUAGGGCUAGGAUUACAGGUGUGAGCCUACCAUUCUUAUCUCAGAAUACCAUU
rnacentral:lncRNA from 1 species